rnacentral:lncRNA from 1 species
AUGGGGCAGUGCGCCUCCUGCCAUGGCUACCCCAGAGGCAUCCCUCCACCAGCCAUUCUGGUGCCCUAUGAAUGGGCAAUCCUCUGGUUACUGAGCUGGGGCCGUAGUAGGAGCGUGCCCUGCUUGCUCUUGGGCACAGCUCUGGGGGUCUCUUUCCUGCAGGACACAGCCAUGGCGGCCAAGGCAGCCCAGCGGCUGCCGUCCAUGAAGAAGCUCGUCCCAGACCUGGCUGCUGCUCUGAGGGACAUGCAGAUAGAGGAUGAAGGAAUUGCAGCCAAGGACCUGCAGGACACGGAGGAGUGGUACAAAACCAGAUCUCUUGAGUUUAAUCAAGCUUCUGCAGAACAUGCCGAGAAUGUGAGACAUUUCAGGGAAGCAAUAGGCAACUGCAAAAGAAGUGAUUGUCGUUUCUGGGUCACAGCUGCUCUUACAAUUAACCCCACCUCCUCUCAUUAAGGCGUCUGCGGCUGAAACGUGUGUGCAGCACCGAGUUUCACAUCAAGUCAGGCUGUCUCAGGCUGGAAGUGCCCCGGCCGGAGAGGCGCACACUACCUUUUUCCUGUGGCGGCGCUUGCACCGCGGGGAGCGGACAGGCGGGAGUCAGUGCAACUCAGCGCCUUCGUACUGAGCCUCAGCCUCUUAUUAGAUGCAACUUGUAUCCAAGCACGGAGUAGGCCCUGGCUUGCCAUGCGCUAGGAUUUGUUGCAUUGGGGUGCAGCAUCGUUACUCCUGACGCUGCGAUGGAAACUUCUCUCGUGCAUGCCUCAAACCAUCCCGGCAAAAAUAAAGACAGGAUUCCCGGGCGGAGGGGCUGGUGG